CGCGCAGGUGGUCCUUUAAGUCUGAUGUGAAAGCCCACGGCUCAACCGUGGAGGGUCAUUGGAAACUGGGGGACUUGAGUGCAGAAGAGGAAAGUGGAAUUCCAAGUGUAGCGGUGAAAUGCGUAGAGAUUUGGAGGAACACCAGUGGCGAAGGCGACUUUCUGGUCUGUAACUGACACUGAGGCGCGAAAGCGUGGGAGCAAACA
rnacentral:rRNA from 1 species